rnacentral:misc_RNA from 1 species
AAAUUUUGGGACAAAUUCAAAUAUCGCAGUGCUUCUAGGCUUGUUAUUUGCUUAGGAAUCUCUCCCUCUAGUUUAUUUUUGGAAAUAUCUAUACUUCUCACGAAUCUGAGAAUGCUGGUAUAUCCAUUCAUGCUCCCUUUUGUGACAAUGGAGAUGCUCUCCAAAAAUUCCCAUGUAUCAUAAGAUAUCUCCCCAGGAAGAUACAUGGAAUCAUGCUUAUUAACCAUUGCAUUGAAGUUGUUGAGACACUUGGGUAUGGUACCAGAAAGAUUGUUAUCAGCAAAAUCCAAAAUACAUAAAGAAGUCAUUAAACAUAACUGUUUAGGUAUGCGGCCAUGAAAUUUAUUUGUACGGAGAUUGAGAAUAAUCAUAUUUGAUAGUUUUUCCCCCAUCCAUUUUGGAAUACUUCCUUCUAAUCUAUUUUCACCAAAGUCUAAAAUGGAUAAUCCUGUACAAUUUUGAAGUGACGAUGGAAUUUCGCCCGAGAGGUUGUUGCUGCGAAGAUGCAGUGA